rnacentral:rRNA from 1 species
AUUGAACGCUGGCGGCGUGCUUAACACAUGCAAGUCGUGCGGUAACAGGCGUAGCAAUACGUGCUGACGAGCGGCGAACGGGUGCGUAAUACAUGGGAAUCUGCCCUUUAGUGGGGAAUAACCCGGCGAAAGCCGGGCUAAUGCCGCAUAAGAUCUUCGGAUGAAAGCGGGGGAUCGUAAGACCUCGCGCUGUUGGAUGAGCCCAUGUCGGAUUAGCAGUUGGUGAGGUAACGGCUCACCAAGGCGACGAUCCGUAGCUGGUCUGAGAGGACGGCCAGCCACACUGGGACUGAGACACGGCCCAGACUCCUACGGGAGGCAGCAGUGGGGAAUAUUGGACAAUGGGGAAACCCUGAUCCAGCGACCGCCGCGUGUGUGAAGAAGGCCUGC